GGAGGGGUGUCCGAGUGGUUAAAGGAGGCAGACUGUAAAUCUGUUGGCUAUGCCUACGGAGGUUCGAAUCCUCCCCCCUCCA
rnacentral:tRNA from 1 species